rnacentral:rRNA from 1 species
UUAUUGGGCCUAAAGCAUCCGUAGCCGGUUCUACAAGUCUUCCGUUAAAUCCACCUGCUUAACAGAUGGGCUGCGGAGGAUACUAUAGAGCUAGGAGGCGGGAGAGGCAAGCGGUACUUAGUGGGUAGGGGUAAAAUCUGUUGAUCCAUUGAAGACCACCAGUGGCGAAGGCGGCUUGCCAGAACGCACUCGACGGUGAGGGAUGAAAGCUGGGGGAGCAAACCGGAUUAGAUACCCGGGUAGUCCCAGCUGUAAACGAUGCAGACUCGGUGAUGAAUAGGCUUCGUGCCUAUUCAGUGCCGCAGGGAAGCCGUUAAGUCUGCCGCCUGGGGAGUACGGUCGCAAGACUGAAACUUAAAGGAAUUGGCGGGGGGGCACCACAAGGGGUGAAGCCUGCGGUUCAAUUGGAGUCAACGCCGGAAAUCUUACCGGGGGCGACAGCA